rnacentral:rRNA from 1 species
AUGCCGCUCGGUGUACGGUUGAAGUGGCGGCAGACGAGCACGGCGAGCCAGCUGAGCGCCAAGAGGGACAUGAGCGGCGGCGGGACCGGAAUGGCCGACGGGAAGACGGGGAACAGGAGGGAGGACGCCAGAGGGAAAGGAGGGGCCAGGUUCGGUGGCCGGGGCAAUGGGGAGGAGAGAGAAGAGCGCGGUGGGCGUGGGCGCGGAGGGGGUACGGAGCAGAAGCGGUGGCGGAGCGAUGCAGGGUCUCAAGGGGACGCCAGGAGGGGUUCGUCUGGGCUUGACAGCAGGAAGAGGAAGGCUGAUCGUGACUCGGGGUACGGCGAUUACAAUGACGCGUCCUUUUCUAAACCAAGGAUGGACAGAAAGAACCCUUCCGAGGGAACCCGUGGCAAGUUUUCUUCUCGAGGAGGCGACGGAUUUAAGACCCGGAGAUCCGAAGAGGGUGAAUUUCGGCCGAUGAGAAGGAGUAGCAGCAAUGGCUCUGGUAUGGGCAGAGGGGGUGGCGAUAGGUUCAAGCCUCGAAGUAUGGAAGAUGAUGGCUUUCGUUCAGUGAGAAGGGAUAGCAGCAAAGGUUCUGGUAUGGGCAGAGGGGAAGGCGAAAGGUUCAAGCCUCGAGGUUCAGAAGAUGAUGGCUUUCGUUCAAUGAGAAGGGAUAGCAGCAAGACCUCUGGUGGAAGUAAAGGGGACAAGGGACGAUCAAUGGUCUGUAUGAAUUCACAAGCCUCCAAGUGGAAGAAAUUUGACAAAGAUAUCAGAGUUGAUCGUCGAAAUGAUUUGGAUGAGCAUGAUGGGGGAAGCAGGAAGUCUGAUGAUUCACGCCAGAAUACUGAAGAGAAGCCUCGUGCUCGUCCCACUCGGGUGCUGGACAAGACUGGGAAGAAACUCAGGGUCUAUAAGAAGGAUUCAGUUUCUGACUCUGAGGAAAUUGCUCCUCCGAAGAAGAGAAAGCGAAUGAAACUAGAUCCUUAUGACACAUCAAACAAACGAAUUGAGGAGGCAACUCCCAAACAAGAUGUUUGCAUAACAGAGAAGAUUACAGAAAAGAGCACACCUGAACCUGAAGAGACUGAAAUGUCUAUAAAUGCUAAAUUUCGUGACAUACAGCCAAGUUCUUCGAUCCUUCAAUAUGUUGAAGAUAAUCUACUUGGUCGUAGGCGUCUAAUUGACAUAAAAAAUGCUGGCUACAAUACCAAGCUUUCUGCUCCUCUGGAUAAUGUCCCCUUCUCAACCAGAAUUGAACGUGACCGGAUAGAAGACAGUGUGUUCAGAAAUAAGCUGGACUUUUUUGCCGCUGCAAAGAUCCCAUCAUCUUUCCCUCCUCCUACAAUUCCAGAGAUAGCGUUUGCAGGGGUAUCAAAUGUUGGAAAAUCAUCACUACUUAAUGCACUUACAAGACAGUGGGGUAUUGUCCGGACAUCAGAUAAACCAGGACUUACUCAAAGUAUAAAUUUCUUCAAACUUGCAUCAAAGUUAUGCCUUGUUGAUUUGCCCGGAUAUGGUUUUGCUUAUGCAAAGGAUGAAGUUAAAGAAUCAUGGCAGGAGCUUGUGAAGGAGUAUGUUUUAAACAGGGUUGGUCUGGAUAGAGUGUGCCUUCUUGUGCACACUAAACGUGGAAUGAAACCAUUGGACUACGAGCUUAUAGAUCUAAUGGAAAGAUACAAGACACCGUACCAGAUUGUAUUAACCAAGACCGAUUUGGUUUUCCCUAUAGACGUCGCUCGCCGUGCCAUGGAAAUCCAAGAGAGCCUGAAGAAGAACAAGUCGGUCGUAAAGCCUGUGAUGAUGGUGAGCUCCAAGACGGGAGCCGGCAUACGCAACCUGAGAGGCGUGCUUGGGAAGUUAGCUCGCUUCAUCAAACCAUAG